rnacentral:rRNA from 1 species
GAUGAACGCUGGCGGCGUGCCUAAUACAUGCAAGUCGAGCGAACAGACGAGGAGCUUGCUCCUCUGACGUUAGCGGCGGACGGGUGAGUAACACGUGGAUAACCUACCUAUAAGACUGGGAUAACUUCGGGAAACCGGAGCUAAUACCGGAUAAUAUAUUGAACCGCAUGGUUCAAUAGUGAAAGACGGUUUUGCUGUCACUUAUCGAUGGAUCCGCGCCGCAUUAGCUAGUUGGUAAGGUAAAGGCUUACCAAGGCAACGAUGCGUAGCCGACCUGAGAGGGGGAUCGGCCACACUGGAAGUGAGACACGGUCCAGACUCCUGCGGGAGGCAGCAGUAGGGAAUCUUCCGCAAUGGGCGAAAGCUUGACAGAACAACGCCGCGUGAGUGAUGAAGGUCUUCGGAUCGUAAAACUCUGUUAUUAGGGAAGAACAAAUGUGUAAGUAACUAUGCACGUCUUGACGGUACCUAGUCAGAAAGCCACGGCUAACUACGUG